rnacentral:lncRNA from 1 species
GCUCACUCUGUUCUCCAGUCUUGUUACGUGGAUUUCUCUCUCUCCGAGUAAUUUCUCAGCAUCCCCUUGAAUGGCAUCUACCACACAUAACUUUUCCAACCCACAAGGCUGAAGCAACUUCCCAUAGCUGAAAUGACUCCAGCACAGCUAUUCCCUAGAAGACAUCCUCCCUGAUUUCUUGUGGGGCCUGUAAGAUGACUGAAGUUCUAGAACAGCAAAGACAUGGAAAAGGCAUUGAGGUCCUAUUGCUCCUGUCGGAAAUUUCUGCUGACUACAGCAUGAGUUGGAUUGGGCCCAGAGAAACCAAAUACACACAAGUAACAAUGAGUUGGCCAUACAAGCAAGGAAAAUCACAGAUAACAGGUGCACACAAAUUAGCAAUGUACCUUUUAGGUCAUCCAGUACAGCUCCCUGACACCGUGAGAUUGUUUCCUAUGGCAUAUUUUCGGUUGUUUUGUGUGCCUAGAUUAAAUGUCCUAAGUGAUGCCAUGUCCCUAGGGAGAGAUUGUGCUGCCUGGAGUAUCUUGUUGUCAGAAGUUUUUUUUCCUUUCUUAACAUCAUCAUAUUUCUCCUAGUUAUGUCCCUUCGCAGAUCUCCCUCUUUUCCUUCAUUGAUGCUAUUUUCCUCCACUAUUUUUUAACUAGCGUGAUAUUGUGUUUAUUUAGCAUUAAGCCAACCCAUAGCUAUUUAGCUCAUUUAAUCUUCCCUAACAAAUCCGUCCUUCCAGUCUCCUGGUUAUUCUUCCUCUCCUCUUGUCACACUCCUGCCUGUCAGUAUCUUUUUUAGUUAUGGGAUUUUGAAGAUGUGAUGCAUUUCGCUGGACUGAUGACAGAUCUGGUAUAGAGCUGAGCACCCUCAAUGUCUUCCCACUGAAAAACCAUCCUGAUGUGCUCGGGAGAAAGCUGCCAGGGUUCUGGACAGACACACAGGUAGACUAUCUUGCUCAAACCACUUCCUUGGUGCCACUUAUUCUAUUGGCCAACUAAACCCUAUUAAAACAGUUAACCUAGUAGUUCAAAAAACAAAUACAUGUCGUUACGGAUGUAUUUUAUUUCUCACAAUGUUAGGAGAGAAAGUAGCACAGAUAAAAAGGUCUUUGUUGCUGUUGUUGAGAUUUUCUGACUCUUGGUCGUGGACAACACAGUCUAAAAUUAUGGAAGACGUCAUCUUCCAUAACUGUGUCUGACUGUUAGGAGAGUACAUUGUAGAAAGUAAUUAUAUACAUAGUCAGAAGCCUAGCUGCUCACUUCAGGCAAUAAAUUUUGAUCAACAAACAGCACUCCUUUAGUGCUAAAUGAGAUCUUGGUUGUAAUUGAAUGUCUUUACCUUUGUGUUCUGUUGGAUUGGAGGAAUAUCAUCUUAAUCUGCUCUCUUUAAAUUUUCAUUAAGGAACGUUUCAGCUACCUGCAGCCUCAUCUGAUGAUGUUUAAUGAUAUCAGCUAGCUCGGUCUUCCGUGCACCAGCAGGGGCUUCUUUAAAUUGGUCAAAUGUACGGAACAUUGUUUUCAAAUUUAAUGUACUUGGAAUCAACCUUUUAAAAUAAUGGCAUCUCUAAAGUCAGUUUAUAUACAUAGUGCACACACAUGCAUGCAUUUAUACGUGCAUGUGUGUGUAUGCAUAUAUAUAUGUGCGUCAGUGCACACACGUACAGAAACGCUGAUCCUAUUCACCUUCUUGAAACCAUUUCAGCUAGUAUUAACAUAAAUGUGCUGUUAAAUUGGCAGUGUUAUACAUUUUUGUUGGAGUUUACUUCUGUAACAUAAAAUCGGAAAGAUAAGCUGUGAAACUCAUGCAGCUGAUGACAUAAUGCUAGGAUCUCGUGAUGCUGAAUCUCAUAUUUCUAGGAGUGUGGGAUGGAUGUUCCUUGCUGAAAUAAUUAUACUGCCUAUUGCAAUAUAUGUUUCCUUGUUUUCAUGUGGGCACUGAGAUGUCCAAACCAUUAAACGCAUAUGGUAUAAUAAGUCCUGUGUUCCUUAUUUAUUCUGAAGAAGGCAUUAACUUUCUAUGGUUGUUUUAUUGUAUAAUAAAGCCAACUACUCUAAGAAUCUGUGACGAACAUAGCAAUAAUCUGUGACAAUAUGCAUAUUUACAUUUAAUAAUGGUGUCCAAAUGUACAUAUGUGCAUAUAAAUAUGCACACACACAUAUAUAUAUAUAUACACAAACACACAUAGAGACACAUGUACACAAAUUAAAUGGAACCAAUUAGAAUGUGGCAUAAAUAGAUUCAAAGCUUACCUGUUAUGGCUGUGUGAAGGGAUAAUUUGAGCUACAAAGACAUGCAAGAAAGCAUAGCUCAAUACACUCCAUUGGCUUGUUCCCAUUAUGCUCAACAGCGACAGGCUGUAUGCUAAGACGGGGUACCAGCAGACAUUCGUAAUGACAGCUGGUUCAAAACAGAGCUUUCAAAAUAGUGCAACACCCCUAACUUCCUUCCAAAUCUUGGUGUUUGCCAGCACUUAACUGAGGCUGGUUCUUAAGGUCAGAUGUUCAGAUAAAAGUUAUUCGGAAAGAAUCUGGUUCUUUAUGUUUGAACUGUUUAUAUAUUCAACAUACAGGCUCUUUGUUGCCCAUGAAUUUGCAUUUGCUCUCACACAUGGAUUAUGUUUGGCUACUACCUGCAAAAAUGAUGGAUGUUUCUCCCUGAUACCAUGCCCUAUUUGCCUGACAUUGUCUUCUAUCGAGUUCUCUAUGCUUUUGUGGGCUACAUAAACCAAGAUUCAGACAGUAGCUGUUUCUUUUUACUGGGACAAAAAAAUCACUUAGCCUCUCUGUUGAGAAAUGGAAGAAAAGUGGCUUCCCUUUAGCAUCACCCACAGCACACCCACUAUGCUCAGCCAACUAGGAACAGAGCAAAAAAAACCCUUCAGUUGUCCUGUGUGACUUUUCCUAGUGGAUGCGUAUAGAAUCUGGAAAUAAACACAUUCCUCCUUUGGAAGGAAAUGCGAACGGG